AUGCCACUGGUUGUGGUAUAGUGAUGGAACUACUCCACACUUAAAAUAUCUCAAAUUCGAACACUGAAUAUGAAAAAAAUUCAAUUGAAAAUAUUCACCUAUAAUGAAUCUCGUAAUUUAAAUUUAAUCGAGAUUCUACUAAUCGAACCAAAACAAAAAGUUAAAAUACUUGUGAGAGAGAAUUUGGAUAUUCUUUUGAUAAAUAAAGCAGGAAAAGUAGAAUCCAAACAGUUGCAGGGGUAACUUAGUAAAAUUAUUCUUAAGUAAACCCUAGUUUCGAAUCCCCCGGAGUCUGUAGUGACACCUAUAAAUUCCCAAAAUGGCAGCAUUCGCUCAACAAGAACCCUAGCCACCACCAUUCCAAAUCUUUUCCACUAUUUUGUACUUUUUCUUUUGGUACAAGCCUGAUGAUUGUCAAUUAAGAACGGAGAUUCGAAUGUUGCUAUCUGUUGAAGCCUUCUUAUAUGUUGGGCUCCAGUGGCGUCACAUGUGAUAAACUUUCUUACAUAUGAUGAAGGCUUUUUUUACCAAAAAUAAUCAGAUACAUUGGUUUUAUCAUCUAUUUGUCUUCUAACUUGGUGGGUUUUCUUCUUGCAGAUGAUUUGUUAUCGGUAAGAAUGGACUGCUGGAUCAUAAUUGAUGAACUAUUAAACUACCAUGAUAAUCAUCUCGUCAUCGUUUACUCUUGAUGCAUUAUUUUGGUGUGUUGCAGCAAAUUUAUUAGGAUUAGUGAUGGAUCACUCUAUAUAUAUGGUCCUCUAGUUAUUCCCACAGAUGUGUUUUCCACAGUUCCUGCAAUGCGGGAUUUUCAAUAUUUUGAUUAUACAUGUUGUCCAAGUUGGAAUUUUUUCUAAUAAGUGAUGUAAAUAUAUUUUUGUUCAAUUAGUUUGAGACUGAGUUGUAAUGUAUGAAUUGUUUAAUUAUUUAUCAAAAAGCUUCACAUCUUGUAGUUA